AGGAUAAUAGUUAUUAAUAACAUCUAAUUUGCAUUUAGAAAGUGCUAGAAUCUAGCUUAUCUUA